AGGGUUCGAUUAUGGCUCAGGAUGAACGCUAGCUGCAGGCUUAAUACAUGCAAGUCGAGGGGUAACAGAGAGUGCUUGCACUCUGCUGACGACCGGCGCACGGGUGCGUAACGCGUAUGCAACCUACCUUUUACAGAGGGAUACCCAAGAGAAAUUUUGAAUAAUACCUCAUAAGCUCUAUUUAUAGCAUUAUUUGUAGAGGAAAACUUCGGUGGUAAUUGAUGGGCAUGCGUCCUAUUAGUUUGUUGGUGAGGUAACGGCUCACCAAAACUACGAUAGGUAGGGGUCCUGAAAGGGAGAUCCCCCACACUGGUACUGAGACACGGACCAGACUUCUACGGAAGGCAGCAGUAAGGAAUAUUGGACAAUGGAGGAAACUCUGAUCCAGCCAUGCAGCGUGCAGGAAGAAUGCCCUAUGGGUUGUAAACUGCUUUUAUACAGGAAGAAACUUUUCCACGUGUGGAAAACUGACGGUACUGUACGAAUAAGGAUCGGCUAACUCCGUGCCAGCCGCCGCGGUAAUAC
rnacentral:rRNA from 1 species